UUUCCCAAAGAAACCUGCUUUUUUGUUAUCCCUUCUUUCUAGCACGGGUGCAAUGGGGCCAGAAGAUGUGUCAUGAUGGUGUGAGUUGCCUCUGGGUGAACAUUAGUUCAUCACAGAAUUUUAAAAUUUGCAUUUGGAGAACUAAAAAUACUUUUACUGUAAAGUGGUGUAAUCCUGGUGCAAUGAGGCAAGUUAAAGUAACUGCUGAGUAAGUCAACUUGUUUUUCCAGAAGCAUCAGGGAAGUAGAUGACCUCUACCGGUCCCCUAGAGAGGAAGAACAAACUUAGUCCUACCCAGAAGUUAUCAUAUGACAGGCAGGAACCCCAGUGUUCUCAGGUUACUUGUGCUGUGUAACCGUUACAACUCGCUGAGACAGACAGUGUUAUCAACGUUUGACAAGUGAGGGAUCUGAGUUGAAGAGGUUCCACAAGCCAGCUUAAGGCUCGCUUCUCUCUCCUUCGAGUCCAGAGUCUGAAAGGACAAAUCAAGUCAAAGCUCCGAUCAAGCCAUAAACUCACAGUCUUCAAAUUCAUAGUCCGGCAGUGACCUUGUUGGAACACAAAAGGUGCUUAUGGGAGAAACUAGUAUCGCUCCACGAUACCCAUGCUCCCCUUCACCAUCAGAAAAAGAGCCCCGCCACCCCUGCUGGUCGAGGCGGUCAGGGGUCUUGGUUCUGGCCAACGGGGUGGAAGCAGAGGCAAUGUGUUGACCCCGUAAACCAUCAGAGCAUCCUGAACCAGCCACCAGGACUGAUCAAGAAGAAAGAGACGAUUUCUCUCCUGCUUAAGUCACCAGACUUUCGGAUCUCUUAUUUCAGCAGCUCAGCCUGUAUCCUCAAUACAGCACAUCGAAGAAACUUAAAAACCUGCAUAUCCCUCUAAACUGGCUAUGAAUUAUCCUUAGAGCUUGUUGAACCUCAUCACCUGUUUAUUCCUCAUUCAUUUAUAAGCCUGCGGUUUUCUGCCUUCUCAAUGACCUAUUACCAAGCUGAGAUGGAUCUGCUGUGACACCUGCUGUGUCCCGUGACCAGAAUAAUAAACACAACCAAUUCACUUUGGUCACUCCAUUUUUGGUGAAGAGCUGCAGUCGAGAACGACAGACAUCUGCCCAUUAGGAGCAGCACGUAAUUAACAGCAGUGUUUACCCACCCGACACCGAGCAGUAGAGGGGCAACAGACUGUCAGCACGAGAGACCAGCAUGACCCUCGCCAUCCUGAAUUAUGGACGCUACACUCUACCUCCCACUCACCCUCAACUACAACCAAAAUAAAUACACUUACAGAUUGAAA